rnacentral:lncRNA from 1 species
CCUCACUAUAGCCAAAUCCCACAGAGUUGGGACUUGUUGUCUCCCACACAGAACCAAAGACCAAGAAAGGCAGAGGCAUGAGAAGCUCAUUAAUGCUAAUUAACGGAAACUACUAAAGUGAGUGGUGGUGUAGACCUGCAGUAUUCCUCAAAGCUGGGCACCUAAGUCUGGGUGGUAGAAGCAGCUCUCCUUGCAGGAGAUUAGAAGCCAAAGUCUACAUGUUGAAAAGGACACUCUUCCCUUUCUGUGUCAUGAUGCUCCUGACUUGUGGAAACAAACUUUACAACCAGGGAAUGUUAUAAAGCAGGAUGACACGUGGGAAGUUUUAAGUUAUUCCUUAAAGCAACUUUCACUGGAGUAAAUAGAAUAAUGGGCUGCAAUCAUACUUAGCAUUGAUCGCUACUUCUGAAGGUAUUGAAUGAAGUGAGUAACUUUGCCUUAUUGUAAUGAAUGUAUACAAUAACAGAAAUGCUGUUAAAAUAUUAUUGCAUCAAUUCUACUAAUUUCAUAGAUUCAGUACUUCUUUGAAAGCCAUGUAUCACAUACUUAGAAUCAGUAAUGCAGGAAUAUUUAUUCAAUAACUUUUCUAUUCUGGUGGUAGUUCAGUGAAUGCUGCCUCUUACCCAUUUAGUAACCUAACUGCUGUCAUAAAAUAUUGGUAUUCAUUUUUAUUUUAC